AUUUGGGUUAUUUCCACCAUAGUUGGUCUUGGAAGCUAAGCAGGGUCGGGCUUGGUUAGUACUUGGAUGGGAGACCACCUAGGAAGACCAGGUGCUGUAGGCA
rnacentral:rRNA from 1 species